GCAGCUUAGUGGCAAGAACAUCUGCCUUGCAUGUAGAAGGACCCAGGUUCAAUCCCUGGCUGCAUCU